ACAGAGGCAGAAGCAGACAGAUUAUAACUGUUUAACUGCGGGUUGACAGGUCAAUACAUCGUGGAGGGUCUGAAGAGAAGCUACUGUGUGUGCAGGCUUUUACUACAACCCUGCACUAUAACACACCUGGUUCUACUAACAGUUGCUCUUCACGAACUUGAUUAGCUAGAGGUCAGCUAGAAUUCAGGGAUUAGCUAGAGGUCAGGGAUUAGCUAGAGGUCAGCUAGAGAUCAGGGAUUAGCUAGAGGUCAGCUAGAGAUCAGGGAUUAGCUAGAGGUCAGCUAGAGGUCAGGGAUUAGCUAGAGAUCAGGGAUUAGCUAGAGGUCAGCUAGAGAUCAGGGAUUAGCUAGAGGUCAGCUAGAGAUCAGGGAUUAGCAAGAGGUCAGCUAGAGAUCAGGGAUUAGCUAGAGGUCAGCUAGAGGUUAGGGAUUAGCUAGAGGUCAGCUAGAGGUCAGGGAUUAGCUAGAGGUCAGCUAGAGAUCAGGGAUUAGCUAGAGGUCAGCUAGAGAUCAGGGAUUAGCUAGAGGUCAGCUAGAGAUCAGGGAUUAGCUAGAGAUCAGGGAUUAGCUAGAGGUCAGCUAGAGGUCAGGGAUUAGCUAGA